rnacentral:tRNA from 1 species
AGCCUUGAAGUAGUUUACGCUAGAUUGCAAAUCUAGAGAAGCAGGUUAGUUGCCGGCCGGGGCUU